GAGACAGUAAAAUGUUUACUCGGUCGAGACAGUUGGGUGAGCGAGUCACAUACUCGAGCGCUCGGUCGAGCACUCGGCGUAAUGUUCAUACACAUCGAGUACUUGGCCGAGAGCACUGUCUCGCCCGUUUGCUCGGUACGUGUGAUCAAGGCUUUAUAGCUCGCUCGGCGCUCGAGUUGGCCUUCUUAUUUGUUUUUUCUAUGGUCUAACUAAACUGUUUGUUUGCACAGACUAAAUUAAUAAAAAAUAUAGUCAAAAGUGGUUUCGACCGAAUGUGAGUUUUGACUGUAACAUUAUACAUUACCUAUAUUGUUUACUCUAUAUUUAGUGAUAUUCAGGGAGUGGCGUCACAUGUGUAAUACAGGAUAUUGGAAUAUUAAAAUAGCUGUAGUAACUUAAACACCAGGCUGGCUAACACAUUCAGUGCCUCUUUAAAAAGUGACGUACUUAAGUGUUCUUUACAAUUACACAAUACUUAUAAAGUAUUCCAGAACACAAGAAAAAUCGUGCAUCUUUAUGUUUAGAAUGAUGCUGAAGCUAGCUGCACUAUUGGCGUGGUGCGUCACCGUGAUCGCCACCGCAGACUCGGCCGCAAGCGCUGGCUCUCGUUCCACAGGGUCCGGCGGUUUUGAUGCUUUUUACAAACCGAACAUCGAGGAGUUCAAAAAUAAUGAGGCUGGGGACAUAAUUAAUGAUCCUUUUUGUCCAGCAGGCAAAGUAAAAAUUAAUAAUUCUUGUUAUGAAACUGAAACUGAAACAGAAGCUUCUACUGUUGAUUAUGAUGCGGAUUUAUAUGGAAUAUAAAUUCUUUCGUCAUUUGGCCAAGCCUAUGUUCAGUAGUGGACGUCCUGUGACUAAAAUGGUGAUGAUAAGCGCUGAUAUGAAUAGAACAAUAAGCUUAAUAUAAGAUAAGAUAAGAUAAUAAUUUAUUGCCUCGUUUUUUUUUGCCUCGCUUUACAAACAUAGAAAUAUAGCGGAAUAGAGCAACAAACGACUGAGCGAGCGAGAUGUCACUAAGCAGCAACACUGUGUGAUCAAAAAAGAUGCGAGAUGCGACGUAACAGCGCCGUUUUUUUUGCAACUAUUUGACAGUUCGUUAGCACUUUUUGGCACGCUGAAUUUUUUUCAGAAUUUACGUGGGUGAAAUCGUGGAUGUUUAUGAGAAAUAGUGCUUCAGAAACGUGGUGACUGGUUGAGUGAUUGAUUUAAUAUACAAAACAGUUAAACAAUACCGAAGCCAUGUAUUCAUUAGGCAACAUUUGUUGAUAAACUGUUUAUGACUAGUGUGAAACAAGUUUACCAUAAACACAGGUUUCUGAAACUUGGCCGUCCUCACUUGCUCUCCACUCAUAGCGGGGAGCAUGGCAACAUGUAUCAUAAACAAUGUUUCAUCACCUCUGUUUAUGGAUUGAUUAUAAACUGUUUACAAAGAUGAUUAAACAUUAUGAAACAUUGUUUAUGAACCGUUUAUAAACAGUGUUUAUCAACAAAUGUUGCCUAAUGAAUGUUGAUGAUAUGGCAUAAUGAACAUGGCUUGACACUGACACGCAAAUGACAUCCAAUGACACCGUAAAAUCGGUUUCGUUUGACAGCUCGUGGUUGUUGCUCUAUUCCGAGGGAAUAUUAACUUUAUGACAAAAUUCUACGUGCUCAGAGACCGGGCUUCAGAGGCCGUGAAUAUUUACGGAGGCCAUUACUACUGUACUGACAUAAACAACUUUUAAUGUAACCUUUUGAUAAUAACAUUAACAUAAUAAGCUCUAACAAUACAUAAGUUUAUAUAGGGUGUUGAUUUCAAUCCUCGCCAUAUUUAGGGAGUUGAUUAAGUAGUUUAUUCUGAUCAAGAAUCAGUAAAAAAUUGACAUCGAAAAAAUUUUAAACGAACUUUAACUUUAGUUAGUCAAAGAAAAAUACCUAUUUACACUACCUACUUUACAUGGCUCCUUCAGUAGACUAUCCGACAUGAUAAGCGAGCGAUCCGCGUAGCUCGAUGGUGCCGCAAUGCAAGCAAACGUAUUGCAGUAUUGCGAGCCACAGAACAGUUGGUGACGCACAGAAAGUAUUCGCUAAAAAUUCCACUUUCGUUUGUAAUUUUUUUGGUGGAUUAUAUAAGUCAUAAUAGAUCACCUAAAUAAAUGUGGCGAGGAUUGAAAUCAACACCCUGUAUAUUAAUGAUACACUUCGUUGUAAAGGCGACAGCAGUCAGCACGUCAAUACACACAGUGCAUGCAACAUCUUAUGUGAAUGUAAUAGGGUUUAUUUUUUAACAAAAAUUUACAAAUAUGAUCUGAUAAUAAUAUGCUGUCCACUGUAUACUGUAUACAUACUAAAACUUUAAUUAAAAUAAAUUAACACAA